UUGACCUCAAAUCAGGUAGGAUUACCCGCUGAACUUAAGCAUAUCAAUAAGCGGGAGGAA
rnacentral:rRNA from 1 species